rnacentral:rRNA from 1 species
UACGGAGGGUGCGAGCGUUAAUCGGAAUUACUGGGCGUAAAGCGCGCGUAGGCGGCUUUGUAAGUCGGAUGUGAAAUCCCCGGGCUUAACCUGGGGAACUGCAUUCGAUACUGCAGAACUAGAGUAUGGUAGAGGGAAGUGGAAUUUCCGGUGUAGCGGUGAAAUGCGUAGAUAUCGGAAGGAACACCAGUGGCGAAGGCGACUUCCUGGGCCAAUACUGACGCUGAGGUGGCGAAAAGCGUGGGGAGCAAACAGGGAUUAAGAUACCCGCGUACGUC